CGGCACGGGUGAGUAACACGUAUCCAACCUGCCGUCUACUCUUGGACAGCCUUCUGAAAGGAAGAUUAAUACAAGAUGGCAUCAUGAGUCCACAUGUUCACAUGAUUAAAGGUAUUCCGGUAGACGAUGGGGAUGCGUUCCAUUAGAUAGUAGGCGGGGUAACGGCCCACCUAGUCAACGAUGGAUAGGGGUUCUGAGAGGAAGGUCCCCCACAUUGGAACUGAGACACGGUCCAA
rnacentral:rRNA from 1 species